UUGGCGAACUGGUGGUCACCUGAGGUACAUUUGACUGGUAGUACGUGGUCUUUGUGGUCAGCUGAGGUACAUUUCACCUGAGGUACAAUCUUGCUGGCAUUGUCGCUGUUGGGUUCGAGGUGAAGCUGAAUUACUUUGUUGUAGUUGAAGUUGGUUUGUCCAUUGGUGUUCUUGUGGAAGCUGUUUCAUUAUAUCAAGUCCAGCCAAAUACAACUAGCAGGUACGUGUUAAAGUCCUUGAAGCUUCAAG